rnacentral:misc_RNA from 1 species
AACGCACAUUGCGCCCGCCAGUAUUCUGGCGGGCAUGCCUGUUCGAGCGUCAUUUCAACCCUCAGGCUCCCCGAGCCUGGUGUUGGGGGCCGGCCGUCUCGCCGCCCCCGAAAUGAAUCGGCGGUCUCGCCGCGGCCUUCCUUUGCGCAGUAGCAUUACCACCUCGCAAGCGGGAGCGCGGCGCGGCCACGCCCGUAAAACGCCCAACUUCUCAAGAGUUGACCUCGAAUCAGGUAGGAAUACCCGCUGAACUUAA